UACAGAGGUCUCAAGCGUUGUUCGGAAUCACUGGGCGUAAAGCGUGCGUAGGCUGUUUCGUAAGUCGUGUGUGAAAGGCGCGGGCUCAACCCGCGGACGGCACAUGAUACUGCGAGACUAGAGUAAUGGAGGGGGAACCGGAAUUCUCGGUGUAGCAGUGAAAUGCGUAGAUACCGAGAGGAACACUCGUGGCGAAGGCGGGUUCCUGGACAUUAACUGACGCUGAGGCACGAAGGCCAGGGGAGCGAAAGGG
rnacentral:rRNA from 1 species